CUAGAAAAUUGUUCCAGGUUUGGAAAAUCACUGUUUUUCUUACUUUUAAUCCUACCAUGUGAAGUCACAGAGAAGCAUUUCUUUAGGCCCUUUCUUCUAAUACUUUUGACCACAGAUCAUAGAAACGCACUGUUUUCACAUGUAUGUAGACAUUGCUUUGGUGCUGGAGAUAAUGAAUAUGAGGUUGAAAAGUGGCGGAGUUGCCCUUUAAUUGUCACAACUAAGUUAACAGAAAAGCAAGCUCAAACUUCAAAUAAACCACUACGUUUCAUCUUUAUACACCGAUAUUAACUUUAAACACUGAUGAAAGGAAUAAGUGAUUUUCUCAUGCUACUUGAAGAAUGCUAACAGAGGUCCUAACUCUUCUUUUGAACUCAAUCAUUUUAAGCUAUUGCUUAGUAAACAAACCCCCAAAUGUAGGAUCACUGACUCUCUGGGACCAUAGCAGACUUUCAUGUGUUUCAAUAAGAGUUCAACAUUAUUUUAUUUUUUUAACCUUUAUUUGACUAGGCAAGUUUAAGAACAAAUUCUUAUUUACAAUGACUGCCUAAGAAAAGUGGGUCAACUAAUUAACUGGUGAUGCCUCGUCGCAAUUGGUUAUUCCCUAUAAUUUCCUACAAUGUCAAUGAGCAUCAUCACAAUUUUUCAUUUGCGGUACCUCAAAAUGUUGUGAUUACCAGCUGAGAUAAACUUUUAUGAGUUUGUCUGGGCUGUGUCUUAAACCUUUUACUGCAGUGAGCUAAAGCAGGGUCACACAGAGUGUUUCUUGGUAUUCUUAAACAUCUACUUUGAAACAAAAGUAUACACACAUGGUUAAAAAAGAAGACACCUGUACCAUGUCAGAUAUAUGUGGUUGAAAUGUAUUCAAUUUUGAGUUUGCAUCCCGAUAUAACAUUUUAGAUAUAGUACCAGUCAAAAGUUUGGACACACCUACUCAUUCAUUUAUUUUUACUAUCUUCUACAUUGUAGAAUAAUAGUGGAGGCAACAAAACUAUGAAAUAACACAUGUGGAAUCAUGUAGUAACCAAAGAAGUGUUAAACAAAUGAAAAUAUAUUUGACAUUUGAGAUUCUUCAAAGUAGCCCGCCUUUCCCUUGAUGACUGCUUUGCACACUCUUGGCAUUCUCUCAACCAGCUUCAACUGGAAUGCUUUUUGAGGGAGUUCCCACAUAUGCUGAGCACUUGUUGGCUGCUUUUCCUUCACUCUAUUGUCCAACUCAUCCCAAACCAUCUCAAUUGGGUUUCGGUCGGAUUAUGACCUGGCCAAGAGUCUGAUCAAUCUGGAGGGCCACAAUUUUAGAAUAAGCCAGAAUUAGUGUUUCACUUAAACUUUUCUGGGGUGCGGCUUAUCAAGUGGAUUUCUUCCAAAUGCUAUUUCUAACUCAAAUUUAGAUUUGUGAUAAAAAAUCAAUAUCCUACAAUUGACCUAAAUACUGGGGCAUAACACAUUCAUUAACAGGGCUUCUGAGUAUUGGCAAAGGAGAAAGAGCAUAUUUAUCUCUUUGUGUACUGAUUAGAGGCUUUAGGGGCAGUCCAGUGAGCAUGUGCUGUUGAUUAUCACCGAUGAGGGAGCCUGUCCAAAUAGCACGCUGAUUAAUGAUUUACUUUUUUCCUUGUCGUUCAAAAUAGAUUCAGAGGUGGGAGGAGAGUCUGAAUGCCAGACAGGCAGAGCGUGUAUUGCAAAAUGAAUGGAAAUUAUAAGAACCUGAAUUUAAAAUGGAUUCAAAUGAAAUGCUGUUUCACUGGCCUACAUACAAUGCCCCAUAAUGGAAGAGGGAGGAAACCACUCAAGGAUUUCACUAUGAGGCCAAUGGUGACUUUAAAACAGUUAUAGAGUUUAAUGGCUGUGAGAGUAGAAAACUGUGGAUGGAUCGAUACCAUUCUACUUACUCCAGAAUACUAACCUACAUGACAGAGUGAAAAGAAGAAAGCCUGUACAGAAUAACAAAUAUUCCAAAACAUGCAUUCUGUUCGCAAUAAGGCAGUGAAGUAAAAUUGCAAAAAAUGUGGCUCAGAUAUUAACUUUAUGUCCUGAAUACAUUGCGUUAUGUUUGGGGCAAAUCCAACACAACACAUCACUGAGUCCCACUAUUCAUAUUUUCAAGCAUGGUGGUGGCUGCAUCAUGUAUGGGUAUGUUUGUCAUCAGCAAGGACCAUAUAGUUUUUUGGGGGAUAAAAAUAAACUAAUAGUGCUAAGCAAGGCCAAACUCAAGAGGAAAAACCUGGUUCAGUCUGCUUUCCAACAGACACUGGGAGACAAACUGUCACACCCUGACCUUAGAUUCUCUGUUUUCUAUAUAUUUUGGUUAGGUCAGGGUGUGACUAGGGUGAGUACUCUAGUUGUUGUAUGUCUAGGGUUUUUGUCAUCUAGGGUUUUUGUAUGUCUAUGUUGGCCUGAUAUGGUUCCCAAUCAGAGACAGCUGUUUGUCGUUGUCUCUGAUUGGGGAUCAUAUUUAGGUAGCCAUUUUCCCCAUUGUUAGUUGUGGGAUCUUGUCUAUAUUUAGUUGCCUGUCAGCACUAUUUUGUAUAGCUUCACGUUUCGUUUGUUCUAUUUAGUUGGUUUGUUCGGGAUUCAUUUAUUAAAAGAAUAUGUACUUAUACCACUCUGCGCCUUGGUCCGAUCCUUUCAACGAAUGUGACACAAACUCACCUUUGAGCAGGACAACAACCUAAAACACAAGGCGAAAUAUGCACUGGAGUUGCUUACCAAGACAACAUUGAAUAUUCCUGAGUGGCCUA
ensembl:lncRNA